UACGUAGGGUGCAAGCGUUAAUCGGAAUUACUGGGCGUAAAGCGUGCGCAGGCGGUUAUGUAAGACAGAUGUGAAAUGCCCGGGCUUAACCUGGGAACUGCAUUUGUGACUGCAGGGCUAGAGUCCGGAAGAGGCGAGUGGAAUUCCUGGUGUAGCGGUGAAAUGCGCAGAUAUCAGGAGGAACACCGAUGGCGAAGGCAGCUCGCUGGGACGGUACUGACGCUGAGGCGCGAAAGCGUGGGGAGCAAACAGG
rnacentral:rRNA from 1 species